rnacentral:rRNA from 1 species
GAAGAGAGCCUGAGCCGGGAAAGGGAAAACCGGUGCAAGCGGGGUAGGAGUCGUGUAGGCAAAUCCGCACGGCAAUCCGAAGACGUGAAGCGGAGCGAAUUAAAGUAGCGAAGCAGGUGAGCUGGCUGCCAAGAAAAGCCGCUAUUGUUCAUAUGAUACCCGUACCGUAAACCGACACAGGUGGAUGAGGAGAGAAUCCUAAGGCCGGCGGGAGAAGCAUUGUUAAGGAACUCGGCAAAAUGACCCCGUAACUUCGGGAGAAGGGGUGCCUGCGAGAGCAGGCCGCAGAGAAUAGGCUCAAGCAACUGUUUAGCAAAAACACAGGUCUAUGCGAAACCGAAAGGUGAGGUAUAUGGGCUGACGCCUGCCCGGUGCUGGAAGGUUAAGAGGAGAUGUCAGGAAACGAAGCAUUGAAUUUAAGCCCCAGUAAACGGCGGCCGUAACGAUAACGGUCCUAAGGUAGCGAAAUUCCUUGUCGGGUAAGUUCCGACCCGCACGAAAGGCGCAAUGAUUUGAGCGCUGUCUCGACAAUGCACCCGGUGAAAUUGAAGUACCAGUGAAGAUGCUGGUUACCUGCGCCAGGACGGAAAGACCCCAUGGAGCUUUACUCCAGCUUGAUACUGGGAUCCGAUGCUGUAUGUACAGGAUAGGUGGGAGGCUAAGAAGCGGUGACGCCAGUUGCCGCAGAGCUGAUGUUGGGAUACCACCCUUGCAGUAUUGGAUUUCUAACCAGCUGCCGUGACCCGGCAGUGGGACAAUGUCUGGCGGGGAGUUUGACUGGGGCGGUCGCCUCCGAAAGGGUAUCGGAGGCGCUCAAAGGUUCCCUCAGGAUGGUUGGAAACCAUCCGAAGAGUGCAAAGGCAGAAGGGAGCUUGACUGCGACACCGACGGGUGGAGCAGGUACGAAAGUAGGACUUAGUGAUCCGGUGGUAUUAAGUGGGAAUGCCAUCGCUCAACGGAUAAAAGCUACCCUGGGAUAACAGGCUUAUCACUCCCAAGAGUUCACAUCGUCGGAGUGGUUUGGCACCUCGAUGUCGGCUCAUCGCAUCCUGGGGCUGUAGCAGGUCCCAAGGGUUGGGCUGUUCGCCCAUUAAAGCGGUACGCGAGCUGGGUUCAGAACGUCGUGAGACAGUUCGGUCCCUAUCCGGCGCAGGCGGAGGAUAAUUGAGAGGAGCUGCCCUUAGUACGAGAGGACCGGGGUGGACGGACCGCUGGUGUAUCUGUUGGCUACCAAAGCCAUGGCAGAGUAGCCAAGUCCGGCAGGGAUAAACGCUGAAGGCAUCUAAGCGUGAAGCCCCCCUCAAGAUGAGUUAUCCCGAUAAGUAAGACCCCUUAGAGAGUAUGAGGUAGAUAGGUUUGAGGUGGAAGUGCAGUAAUGCAUGGAGCUGACAAAUACUAAUCGGUCGAGGGCUUAUCC